AAGAUAAAAUGGCUGAUUAUAGGUUGUAAAUUGUAAAUUUAUAUAUAGAUUUAAUAUCUUUUUAUCAA
rnacentral:tRNA from 1 species